rnacentral:rRNA from 1 species
UCCUGGCUCAGGAUGAACGCUGGCGGCGUGCCUAACACAUGCAAGUCGAACGGUGGUGAUUGAAAUUUCGGAUGGAUUCACCAUAGUGGCGGACGGGUGAGUAACGCGUGGAUAACCUGCCUCGUACUGGGGAAUAGCAGCUGGAAACGGCUGGUAAUACCGCAUAAGCGCACGAUGCCGCAUGACAUUGUGUGAAAAGAUUUAUCGGUACGAGAUGGAUCCGCGUCUGAUUAGCCAGUUGGCGGGGUAACGGCCCACCAAAGCGACGAUCAGUAGCCGGCCUGAGAGGGUGAACGGCCACAUUGGGACUGAGACACGGCCCAGACUCCUACGGGAGGCAGCAGUGGGGAAUAUUGCACAAUGGGCGAAAGCCUGAUGCAGCGACGCCGCCGUGAGUGAAGAAGUAUUUCGGUAUGUAAAGCUCUAUCAGCAGGGAAGAAAGGCCCGCAAGGGAGAUGACGGUACCUGACUAAGAAGCCCCGGCUAACUACGUGCCAGCCGCAGC